rnacentral:rRNA from 1 species
AUUGAACGCUGGCGGCAGGCCUAACACAUGCAAGUCGAGCGGAUGAAGGGAGCUUGCUCCUGGAUUCAGCGGCGGACGGGUGAGUAAUGCCUAGGAAUCUGCCUGGUAGUGGGGGAUAACGUCCGGAAACGGGCGCUAAUACCGCAUACGUCCUGAGGGAGAAAGUGGGGGAUCUUCGGACCUCACGCUAUCAGAUGAGCCUAGGUCGGAUUAGCUAGUUGGUGGGGUAAAGGCCUACCAAGGCGAGGAUCCGUAACUGGUCUGAGAGGAUGAUCAGUCACACUAGAACUGAGACACGGUCCAGACUCCUACGGGAGGCAGCAGUGGGGAAUAUUGGACAAUGGGCGAAAGCCUGGUCCAGCCAUGCCGCGUGUGUGAAGAAGGUCUUCGGAUUGUAAAGCACUUUAAGUUGGGAGGAAGGGCAGUAAGUUAAUACCUUGCUGUUUUGACGGUACCAGCAGAAUAAGCACCGGCUAACUUCGUG